UGUUCUUUUAAGGAUCUUGCAAGGACCGUAUUUCCAUCGAUGGUCGACAUGUUGGGCGGAGUUGGAGUGAACUUGAUCCAGACGAGAUUACAUCAAAAUUCGUGACCUUGAGGGUUUAAACAACAUCUUUGAAGAUUAAUUUCGUUAAAAUAAAUAAUUAAAUGGGUUAAUUUGCGCUUUGGACAAUAAAAUUGUUGGGUUGAGGUUAUGUAUAACCUAAAUAGAAGAAAUUCUUCGUUUUAAUCCUUUGGGUAGCCCUGAAACGUGCCGACAGAAGCCGUUGCAGAUAUUUAGAGCAGUUGUUUGGCAUAAUGGUGGUAAGCGGGAUGGAGAUAACCGUUUAAAACAGAGGCGAGUGGUUGCUUGUAUAGCGUAAAUUCUAAAAAUGCCAUCACCCCGUAAACCCGCCAAACUAUCCAGAUAAAAUCGCAACCAAAAACAGAGAAAGAUUACGCUUGGAUACCUCCGAAUAAUAAUAACUCAUAUUCACAACAACAAAGGAACAUUUUAUUGAUUUAAAAACAACAAAUAUAAUCAAAUAUUUACGUUAUAUGUAGUUGGAUGGGAAAUUAUUCGAAUAAUUAAUUAGAAAGGUAUUUAACGAUGACAUUUAAUUGGGAGUUUAAAAACUAAUCUUUCAAAUGUGGUGUUAUUACUGGUUUCGCGUCUAAUUAGUCAACUGUGUAUUGCCCCUUUCAAUUAAUGCUCCGGGAACUCGUUAUUUCCAACUAACAACACGUAAAAUCAACAAUCAUGAUACCAAACCGUAAUAAAACUUUAAACAAGAGGGGAAUGCGUCAUCACAACUCCAAAAACACGGUUUAAUUUCAAAUUGAUUUUCGUUCAAAAGUUAAAAUUAAUUAUUUUUUAGCGCCAUCUAUUGAAAAAUAAAAAAAUUAAGUGACAGUUUUAAAUGUUAAAUUUUCAUAACCUUAUUGUGAGUAAUAAUUCGAGUAAUUCACUAGUCUAUAAAUAUUUAUGAUAUGACGACCUAUAUCAGGUCGUAGAUUUCAUUGAUCGAUGUAUUUCCCGUCGGGGUAAUUUCUAGGCACGUAUUUAUUCGUCUAUUUAUGAUUAAUGGCGUUUUACCGCUACAUAUCAUGAAUUUAAAACCAUAAUUUUACUAUUUCAAUGGAAAUAAAUACUUUAUUCGGAACUAAUCUUAUAAUUGAAUAAUAAUCUAAAGGUCAACAGCAACAAUAGAAUGACGAAAGGGCACGAUCCAAUCCAGUUAUCGUCGUCGUCGUCCCUUGGUGAAUAGGAAGGACAAUGCACCUCCUCCAACUGAUUUAUAUACACGUGAAGCAGCGCGCAAUCUGGUAUUCCCCGAAACGGAGCCGCCGCGACACAAUUGCAACUAAAACGGGCGUAUAUCGCUCUCCACCCAACUCGUCCCGGAUUAAGCACUAUGUUACACCGUCGACAGCUUUAAAAAAAACCCAACAUAGAAAGCCCUUCCCAAGGACAAUGCAAGAACCGGGACAAAGGAAGCUACUACGCCGUUGCGAAAGAGGAUGAUGCAGACGGGGUGAAAUCGUCUACACACAAAGAUAAUCGGAGCGAAAUGAAAAAAGAUAUCUUUAAAUUUAAAACGAAUCAAUCUUUUUCGAGAUGAAAGAGAAUGGAUAAUGUGGUAAUCCAUGAAUUUUAACGUUGAAUUACCAUGUAGCCACGGACCGUUAACCGCUAACUCUCCCGAUUGGCGACUCAACAGCCCCUCAACUCCCCUUUUAGGGGUUUAUGUAUGGAUGUAACAUGAUCGAACCGUCAGAAAAUAUGUUCGGGGCUAAAUCAAAAUGUAUAAUGGACAAUUUCUGUGUUAUAUUGAUCAAAAAGGAUAUUUUAACCAUAAAUAAAAUACAUAAACACAAGAUCAGUAAAAUUGUUAUGGCGAAUCCUUGCGGUUUAAACAUUGGUGGGAGAAAGGAUAUUUGUCAUAUAGUUCUGAAAUAGAUUGAUGACUUCGCGUUGGAUGACUGGUCCCAGAUUUUCCCUCGUCUCCCGUCGACGUUGGUCCCUUUUGAUUGCUUUUCGAUGGAACCGGACACUGCGAACCAACCAACCCCACCUUAAAUUCUCUACUCUCCCUCCAAAAUCCAGCUUCCUUGGUAAACUUCCCUUUUUGUUUUUUGGAAAAUUAACUCCAUCAAAAGACAUUAUCCAUUAUCCCUUAUCUGCUAUGGACCGGCGAGUUUCGAGAUCGUUUGUAUUCAUUAGCUUCGUAAAUUGAUGCGAAAAAAAUAACAAAAUUAAAACGGGGGGUUUUAAAAAUCGUCGAAUAUGAUUUUAACGUUGGAUAAAGUCAAUUGAAUUCGUGUGAGCGACAGAUGUCACAUUAAAUCAAUGCUUUGAAUUCUCGCGCACGUGGUGGCAUCCGAUAUAAUUUACGCACCGUUUCCUAAUUUAAUUAAUAUCGCCGACAGUUACGAUCGCAUAUAGUUCGCGCCAUGCUUUGAUUUAAACAGUUAUAGUGAAACACAAUCUGUUAUAGUAUCGAUUAUAACUCGAACGUAGAAAUUUAAUCAAAAAUUAUUAAAAAAAUUUCUUGAAACAACAGUUUUGUAGGCGGCGCACUACCAAACGAUCUGCACGUACUCUUUAAGAAAAUCAUAGAGUGCAGGAGGAUACCAAUGGAAUGGAAAGGAAGUGUGAUCAUUCAAGUGUUUAAGAAAGAAAGUAGAAAAGACCCAGCAAACUAUACGAUGACAUUUAAUUAUAGAUUAUGUUGUAAAAAAUCGCAUUUUAAUCGUUUGAGAUAUUUCUUUGGCGAGAAUGAUAGUGUUCACAAGACCUAUUGCAAUGGAAACGGCUGACAGAUGAAAGCCACCGCACAUAGGGAGUCCUUUGUGCAACGAGAGGAGUUAUUAAAACCGCUGCACAACCGACAUUUUGCGUGUUUCCAUUCCUUAGAACAAAAAAGAUGCAUUCCGUUUUAAUUAACUAUUCCAAACAUUAAUUAAUUAAUAGAAAAGUAAUUUAUUUAACGUUUUGGAUGUAUUAAAAUGUAUUAAUGAGGGCAAAUUUUAAUUAAGUAAAAAAUAUAUAAAAGAAUGAAAAUUUCACGACCCGCUGCAAUCUGCUAUGCGGCGUAAUUUACCUUCAUUUGGUCCUAUUCGCUAACAAGGGAGGCAAUUAAUAACGCAGCGUUUCCAAUAAAGCUCAGGAACCUGCAAUAUUAUGCUAAUCCGGCCGUAAUAUUAAUUAUAAUAAUACCGAGGCUAUGUAACCAAUAUGGAACAAGUCCAUAAAGCAAGACUUUUGUUUUAAAACGUGAUAUUUCCUUAAAUUAAUAAAAUAUUUGUUUGAUUCUUUACAAUCGCGCUCGUUGCGCUGUAAAUUUCAGUUCGAAAAUGGUUUUCACGUGAUUUAACGAUGCAAAUGCAAUUUUUUUACACCCCAUCGAACCAUAAAUCUCGAUCGAAUUCGCAGUUUCAAGUCCCAACCUACCACAGUACCUUUACCAUUUUAAAUUCGAAGCUAUUCGAAGCUCUACGCCGGCGAUGUGUUUCAAAGGUGAAGGAUAAAUUUAUGGUGCCUCGAACGACAACGCGAAAUUUAAGAUAUUUAUAUAUUUAUUUAUGAAUUGGAUGAACGUUAAAGUUAAAAUAAGAAAGAAAAAUUAAUCUUGACGCUUUUUAAGACGGAAAGGAAAAAAAAUAAUUAGACAAGACGGGUCGUGAUAAAUUGAAAAGGAGCUUUCAUUAUUUAUCUCUGAAACCAUCGCUUUUAAGCUCCGCCGAGAUACUAAUCAGAGGGGGGAAAUAAAAAAAUUUUGCUUCUUUUAUGCGCUUGGGAGAACUAAUAGUAGUAAAUUUGAAAACUCAAAGUGCGGUCAAGGAAAAUUAGGUAAUCUUAACUUUGCUCUCGCAAUUGCCUUUACACCGAAACUUACUUUGUGUUUACCAAAGUUCCCACUAUCACUUGAACUUUACCCACGCAUUCCCACAAUGUACACGAGAAAUUAAUUCCUAUAAAAUCAUAUUAAAUUACAGUAAAAUAUCGAUUAAUACGGGGAAGGGUGUGUCCGUUAUAGCCAAAAGUCCGUUAUAUGAAUAAUUUUAAUGCAAACCAAUUUGGACAGCUUUAUAUUUAUACCAAGAAUUGUACAAUCCAAGGGUAAUGCUACAUUCCGCGAACAGAAGCACAGCUCCAAGGCCCGUUCGUGACGUCAGCGCUGAAUAACAAUUAAAACUAGAACUAACACUAGAUAUCGAACUAGAAAUAUUCGAGUUUAGAAGUGCGUCUUCAGACUUUGCUUCUAGAAUAUCUAAAAUAGCCUUUGUAACACGACUAAUACACACAUUUGAAUUUUGGCAAUGACAAAAAUAUUAUAUAUACAGAAAUCUUUUGUGCGUUAUAUCGAGGUUUUACUGUAUUUUAUUUUACAGGAUAUAAAAUAAAUUGAGUUAAAGUGUAUUUAGCGCUCAAGAUAUAGAGAGAGUUCAAAUUGACCCUAAACCCAUCAGAUGAUGAUAACGGGUUAAAGCUCACUUUCCGGGUGCUUCGUGUCCGAGUCUAAACAAACUGGUAGGAUUUGAAACUGCGAGGUUUCACGAAACGUAGAAGGAUUUACUCGGGAGACAAAUUGCGAUAACUUUUCACGUUUCAUUCUAAAAGUAAAUAUUUCUAAAACUAUAUAAAUGAUAACACAAAAAAAAAGAUUUUGAUAUGUGACUUACUCUCCAAGAAAUAAAGUCUUUGAGGAGAAGACAAACUCCAAUUUUAUAAGCAAAACAAAGGACGCUUUCCUAUCCAAACAAAACUUAAAUUAUAGCUUGGGUCGUUUUCUUGUAAAACGGCCUAGGGGCGAAAAUAAAUAUUUUCCUAACCGGACGAUGUUGAAAAUAUACCCAAAGAAUUUCAUUCGAAAAUAUCCACAUAUAAAUGCAAACCGGAUUACAUACAAUCAAAUAAAAUUAAAACCGAUAAGAACAACAAUAAAUUUAAACACUGGUCGAGAUUAAUUAAUUGUUCAAUUAAAGGUGGAACACGUCGAAAUGUCAAUAGAUUUUCAAUUGGAUUAUGUGCGAUGUUCUCAUUGUAUAUUGAAUCAUACCCGGAACAAUGUACUGUUUGACCGACUAGAUUCGAUGAAAAUUUCAAUGGUCGUUGAUUAUUCCGUUGGAAAUAAAUUAAACUUGAAAACUGAAAAGAAUUAAUUGCUUAAUUAAUAAAUAAAUGAUUUAUUUAUU